rnacentral:lncRNA from 1 species
CCUAGUCUUUGGACAGAGAAAUUAACUGUAAUUGGUACUCUUGGUGCAAUGAUCAAACAUUGACAAUCAAUUCUGUCAAAUAAUAGCCUUUCUUUGGACCGACUAUUAUUCACAUGAAAUGUCUUUAUAAUUGUCACACAUUUAUCAUCACAAGCACGUUGUUAUUUGGCCAAAUUGUGUCUUCCUUUGGGCCGAGCACAAUUCGCAUAAAUAACUCCGUACAAAACAUCUAUGUAUUUUCAAUUAAAUCAAUCUACAC